CCUACGGGAGGCAGCAGUGAGGAAUAUUGGUCAAUGGGCGCGAGCCUGAACCAGCCAAGUAGCGUGAGGGAAGACGGUCCUAUGGAUUGUAAACUUCUUUUGUAGGGGAGUAAAAUAAGCCACGUGUGGCGUUUUGUGUGUACUUGAUGAAAAAGGAUCGGCUAACUCCGUGCCAGCAGCCGCGGUAAUACGGAGGAUCCGAGCGUUAUCCGGAUUUAUUGGGUUUAAAGGGAGCGUAGAUGGGUUGUUAAGUCAGUUGUGAAAGUUUGCGGCUCAACCGUAAAAUUGCAGUUGAUACUGGCAGCCUUGAGUACAGUAGAGGUAGGCGGAAUUCGUGGUGUAGCGGUGAAAUGCUUAGAUAUCACGAAGAACUCCGAUUGCGAAGGCAGCUCACUAAACUGCAACUGACACUGAUGCUCGAAAGUGUGGGUAUCAAACAGGAUUAGAUACCCUGGUAGUC
rnacentral:rRNA from 1 species